CUUGAGGGAGCCGAUCAGCAGCGGACGCACCCGGUCGAGCCCGUACGCCGCUUCCAGCGCCUGGGCCUC
rnacentral:antisense_RNA from 1 species